UCCCUGGAGGACUAAUGGUUAGGCUUCAGCACUCUCACUGCCACAGCCUGGGUUCAAUUCUUGGCCAGGGAG